rnacentral:tRNA from 1 species
GCCUUGGUAGCUCAGCCUGGUAGAGCGUUACCUUGGUAAGGUAGAGGUCCCGGGCUCGAAUCCCGGCCAAGGCU